ACACACAUCCGCCCGGGUACUACGAGCACAGCUUAAAACCCAAAGGACUUGGCGGUGUCUCAGACCCACCUAGAGGAGCCUGUUCUAGAACCGAUAACCCCCGUUAAACCUCACCACUUCUUGUUUUCCCCGCCUAUAUACCGCCGUCGUCAGCUUACCCUGUGAAGGUUUAAUAGUAAGCAAAAAGGGCUCGCCCAAAAACGUCAGGUCGAGGUGUAGCGUACGAAGGGAAAGAAAUGGGCUACAUUUUCUAUAUACAGAAUAUUACGAACGAUGCAUUGAAAUCAUGCACCCGAAGGGGGAUUUAGUAGUAAAAAGCAAACAGAGUGUCCCUUUGAACUAGGCUCUGAGACGCGCACACACCG
rnacentral:rRNA from 1 species